rfam:Actinoalloteichus hoggarensis strain DSM 45943 chromosome, complete genome.
GGGGCCGUGGCCCAAUUGGCAGAGGCACACGGUUUAGGUCCGUGCCAGUGUGGGUUCGAGUCCCACCGGCCCCA